GUGCCUACGGGGCGCAGCAGUGGGGGAUAUUGCACAAUGGGGGGAACCCUGAUGCAGCGACGCCGCGUGGGUGAAGGAGUGCUUCGGCAUGUAAAGCCCUAUCAGCAGGGAAGAAGAAAUGACGGUACCUGAGUAAGAAGCACCGGCUAAAUACGUGCCAGCAGCCGCGGUAAUACGUAUGGUGCAAGCGUUAUCCGGAUUUACUGGGUGUAAAGGGAGCGCAGGCGGCACGGCAAGCCUGAUGUGAAAGCCCGCGGCCCAACCGCGGGACUGCAUUGGGAACUACCGGGCUGGAGGGCCGGAGG
rnacentral:rRNA from 1 species